rnacentral:tRNA from 1 species
GUGGCUGUAGCUCAGUUGGCUAGAGCACCAGAUUGUGGCUCUGGAAGUCGCGGGUUCGAGCCCCGUCAGCCACCCUA